AUCAUUCACCAGGGGUGUCCCGCAAGGGGCUGAGAUUCCGCUAGGCUUAAAAGCAGCGCGGUGACCCGUUGAACCUGAUCCAGUUCAUACUGGCGUAGGGACGGUGCAAGCGCUGUUAU
rfam:Rhizobium taibaishanense strain 14971 C197, whole genome shotgun sequence.